rnacentral:tRNA from 1 species
UAAAUGAAGCCAAAGAGAGGCUUGUCACUGUUAAUGACAGAACUGGGUUAAACCCCAUUUA